GUGGGAUGACGUCAAGUCAGCAUGGCCUUUAUAUCCUGGGCUACACACACGCUACAAUGGAAGGGACAAUAGGUUGCGAAGCCGCGAGGUGGAGCCAAUCCAGCAAAACUUCCCUCAGUUCAGAUUGCAGGCUGCAACUCGCCUGCAUGAAGUUGGAGUUGCUAGUAAACGCAGGUCAGCCAUACUGCGUUGAAUACGUUCCCGGGGCUU
rnacentral:rRNA from 1 species